UUUUUGGGAAUAAUUUAAAGUUUAAUCUGCCCACUGAUNAAAUUAUUAAAGGGCUGCAGUAUUUUGACUGUACAAAGGUAGCAUAAUCAUUAGUCUCUUAAUUGGUGACUUGUAUGAAGGAUUGGAUGAGAUAUAUACUGUCUCUAAUUAAUUUAUAAAAUUUAAUUUUUUAGUAAAAAAGCUAAAAUAAUUUUAAAAGACGAGAAGACCCUAUAGAGUUUAAUAGUUUAUUUAAUUAUUAUUAAUUUGUAAAUUUUAAAAUUAAAAUUAAAUGAAUUAUUUUAUUGGGGUGAUAGAAAAAUUAAAUUAACUUUUUUUUUAUAUUAAACAUUAAUUUAUGAUUAUAUGAUCCAUUAUUAUUGAUUAUAAGAAAAAAUUACCUUAGGGAUAACAGCGUAAUUUUUUUUUUUAGUUCAAAUAGGAAAAAAAGUUUGCGACCUCGAUGUUGGAUUAAGAUAAAAUUUAAAUGCAAAAGUUUAAAAUUUUGAUCUGUUCGAUCAUUAAAAUCUUA
rnacentral:rRNA from 1 species